AUAUGUAAUUAAGUCGAACCUCCCGCCUCCGCCACUUUAAAUGACUAAACAACGAAAGUAGAAGUUCGGACAAAAAUUUUUCCCAUUGCCUACCAUUAGCGGACUCAGGGGACUUUCACGUCUCUUCGUGGAACCAAAUUGCUGACUUGACUUGAUUAAAAUUUACAGUCGCUACAAGAGCUCGUCUACAGCAUGGAAUCUGUCUUUUCGACAUCAAGUCUCAUGUUUUUCGCGUUGAGUACGACGAUAUGGUUGACGUACGCCCUUCUUGCUUUAGGCGCAGUACGCCUUCGGGGUGGGGGUUCAGGACAAAAUCGAGCGCAACAUCUUCGGAUGCUUUAUUUCACUAGUGCCCUUGCCAUUCAGGCUGCGCUUUUCGCGCCGUCACCAUUGCUAGCCCGGUUGCGAGCCGGAGCUAACCACAGCGCAAGUUCUGCAAAUAAUUCAGUCCGUGAACGGCAGGACCUAUUUGUACUCGCUUUACAGUGGACUCCCGGAGUGUGCUACCGUGGAGUAGAUUUCAGAAAUCGCCGCUGUCAUAAUUGUUUACGGAACAACUGGACGAUUCACGGGUUGUGGGGUAUGAUGAGCUUUUGCGGCGAAUACGAAACGUUCUCGAAAUUAUCACUUAACGUUAAAUUGAUGCAAGCAUUGUGGCCAUCUUGUGGGAGACCCGAUGAAGAAUUUUGGGAAUACGAAUGGAGAAAGCAUGGCACGUGCUUCAGGGAGAUCAGUGGCGUUAAUUCGAUGACAAAAUACUUCAACAAAACGUUGUACUUAACUGAGCGCGCUAAUAUUUUAAAUAUAUUGGCUGAACAAGACAUUCGGCCGUCUUCGACGUACACGGUUUCGGUGGAAGCUAUCGAAAAAGCUCUACAAAAGAUUCAUGGCGCUUCCGCAACGGUCAACUGCGAUAAUCCGCGGUAUGGUAAAUCGCUUCUGACCGAAAUUCAUAUUUGUUUUGAUGGCAGCUUUCGACCUAGCAACUGCAGACCGGUCCGUCAGCGGUGCAGAAGUCAAGUAUUUUAUGAGGAAUUCCCUAGAUCAACAGAUUAUUAUGAGUAAGCUUAAAAUUGAUUUGUUAGUGACGAUGAAAUACUUCUGAAUGAAUUUCACAUAAGAUUUUUGUUAAGUAAUUUUCAAAAUACCCUUGACUUGCGGGACCAUCGAAUAAAUAGCAGCUCAGUAAUGACUUGCCGAAUACAGGAUCGUUGGUGUUAUUGCGUGACAAUAGCGUUCGAUGCUGAUAGAAUUACCACGUCUUGUUGGUAUAUACAACCUGAAUCCUUUAUGACAGGCAUAAAGCAGCACGUCAUAUGGUAGAAAAAUGGACAACCUUAUAUAGCAGGUUCGUUCUUAACGUGCGUUCCCAAUCGGCGGACCCUUCCGGCAGUCACCGCAUGCAUCAUCC